rnacentral:tRNA from 1 species
UCCCUGGAGGUCCAGUGGUUAAGACUCUGCUUCCGAUGCAGGGGACACAGGUUCGAUCCCUGGUCAGGGAA